CAACUUUCAACAACGGAUCUCUUGGUUCUGGCAUCGAUGAAGAACGCAGCGAAAUGCGAUAAGUAGUGUGAAUUGCAGAAUUCAGUGAAUCAUCGAAUCUUUGAACGCACAUUGCGCCCCUUGGUAUUCCAUGGGGCAUGCCUGUUCGAGCGUCAUUUGU
rnacentral:rRNA from 1 species